rnacentral:lncRNA from 1 species
UUAUGGAAACAGGAUAAAGAAGAGAUUCCAAAAAAAAAUUCUGAGAAAUUACACCAAUAUUUUUAAAUUGGGUAGGGAAAGAGAGCUGAAAAAUUGUGGGCUGUGGCAUCAUGAAAGACAGAAAAGGACAAGGAGUGGACAGCUCUAUUAAAUAUUGCUAUGAUAGAAAGUAGGGUGAGGACAAAAUAUUGACUACAGAAUUUGACAGUGUGAAAAAUGUUGGAAACUCUGACAAGAGCUAUUUCAGCAGAUUUCUGUGGACAAAACGGAGAGAGAUAAAUUGAAAAAAUAAUCAGCGAUUUUGAAAAGGAAGACAGCUUAUUUAGACAACUUUGUCAAGAAGUUUAGCUAUGAAGAGAGGGGAGGAAGUGAGUUAUGCCUACAAAACCUCUGCAGAAUGAUUCUCAAGACCUACCCCUUUCUAUUGCCUAAGCAUAGAGCUCCUCGGUCUUAGUACUGUUUUGUCUCUUCCUCAUCUUGUUCAAUGAGCCCUUCUUUUUGCUGGCUAUUCAUAGGGCUUCUAUUUCUCCUUUCCUUUGCUUGGUGGUAAACCAAUAUUAUCUUGGUUUAGCCUGAAGUUUUUAACUGAGGUUGAGUUCUUGCUCAUAUUUUUAAAUAAUAUUUCAGAUUAUGGUUACUCUAGAUAAACUAGUAGGUAGUUUCUUCUAUUUCUUCUAUUUAUAUAAACUUUUCAAAAUAACACAAUUAUUUUCCUAAAUGGGUACUGUCAAAUUGCAGGGUUCCUAAAUCAGAUUUAAAAGGCAGAUUGCAGGCAAAGUAGCAGGGCAGAAUAGAAAUACUCUAUUUCUAUAGAAUAGAAAUCUGUAUCCUUCUUUCUUCCUUUUCCAAGCUUCUCUUGUUAUUGACAGUAUCUCUUACUAUUGGCAACUCAUCUUUCCCAUCUCCUAGGCAUCAUUAAUUUCAAUGCAGUAAAUUCAAAAAUUUUAUUUUGCAACAUCCUGAAUCACACACUAGAUUAUUUUUGACACUCAUUAUCUCCUUUCAUUUCAUUGCUAUUUACUAAGUCUGCAGUUCUGAAAACUGUUUUUCUUUAUUACUACUGCUAAAGUUAUGUUGAGCCAUUUUAUAGACCAGCCUUCCUUUCUCACAUUCAAUUAUUACUUCCCUCCCCUAAUUUCCAUCCAAUAUCUGCCAAAUCACUCUGUAUUUUCAUGUUACGGUCUGAAUCCCUUGCUGCUUGUUGUGCAUUUUUUAGAUUUAAAAUAUUUUGCCUUAUCUCUCUCAAGUUCUGUCUUCAGGGCUUGCUACAUAAUUUGUGGAGCUCAGGGAAAAAUGAUAAUGGGGGGACUAUUGCUCGGAAAACAGGAAAAGGAGUACAGUUAAAAGUGAAACAUUACAAGGUUUUCCUUUAAUUUUUUUUUAUAAUAAUAACAUGGGGCAAUAUAAUAUAAUGGGGCAAUAGUGACAUUACUUAAUCAUGACAUGCCAUGACAUAAAAAGAACAGAGAGGCACUGCCUCCAUGCUCUCCUAAGGCCACAGCCACCAUCGCCAGCACUGUUGCUUUUGCUGCGGCUCCCACUGCUGCCACUGACGAUAUGGGCCCAGAUCCCAGAAAUAACGACCCCCCUUUGGGGCCCUGCAGUGUCCACCUCUGCCAGGCACAUGACUGUGCUGGGUGUGCAAGGUAUCCACUAUGCGUGUUGCACUCUACCACUGGCGCAUCUUCUCUGCUCAUGCAUAUGCUCAAAACACAAGUCCGAAGAUGGAAUUAUUAAGGACUUAAAGAUGGCCACAGAAGAACACUAAACCAAGUGUGAGGCCCUUGUGAGAAGGCCCAGAUGACAGUACAGCCUGCAUGCCCCUGAAGCUGGCCUUGCCUGAGGUGUCUGUCCCAUUGCAGUGGGCUCCCAGGAGAGUGGGGAAAAUCUAGCCAUAGAUAUCUAGGAUGCACAGACUCUCAACUAGCAUACCUUACUUUCUUCUUGACUUUCAAAUUGCAGUUAAGAAAGGCUCAGGACCUACACAUUCAAAAGUUACAUGCCAGCAUAGACUUUUUUUAGCAAUGUUAGCCCCAACAUUGUUUAUCUUAUAUUGUCAACAAUAUAAUUUGAGAGAAUUACUUAAGUGACUUAUAGUUACUGAUUUUAAGAACAGAUUUUUUAACACUUUAGAAGUUCCCAAGUGAUAUUUACUAAUACAUUUAUGUAUUUUUCUAAAUGACCCCAGUUAUGUUUUUCUUUUUUAAUUGAAGUAUACUUGAUGUACAAUAUUAUAUAAGUUUCAGGUAUACAACAUAGUGAUUCACAAUUUUUAAAGAUUAUAUUCCAUGUAUAGUUAUAAUACAUUGGCUGUAUUCCUUUUGAUGUAUUAUAUAUCCUUAUAACUUAUUUUAUGUACAGUAGUUUGUACCUCUUAAUUCUCUAUUCCUCUUGCCCCAUUUCUUCCCUUUCGGCUAAUAACCACUAGUUUAUUCUCCAUAUUUCUGAGCCUGUUUCUUUUUUGUUAUAUUCACUAGUUUGUUUUUUAGAUUACACAUACAUGAAUAUAAUAUAGAAUUUAUUUUUAUCUGAGUUAUUUGACUUAGCAUAAUAAAUCCAUCCAUGUUGUUGCAAAUGGCAAAAUUUCAUUCUUUUUUAUGGUUGAGUAGUGUUCCAUUGUGUGUGUGUGUGUGUGUGUGUGGGUGUGUGUAUCACAUCUUCUUUAUUCAUUCAUUCACUGAUGAGCACUUAGGAUGCUUUGAUUCCAUAUCUUGACUAUUGUAAACAAUGCUGCUAUGAACACUGGGGCACAAAUAUCUUUUUGAAUUAGUGUUUUUUUUCUCCCUUCAUCCUUCCCGUCCUUCUUUCUUCCUUCCUGUCUCCUUUCUUUCUUCUUCCUUCCUUCCUCCUUUUCUUUCUUUCUUUUUUCUUUCCUUCUUUCUUUUUUGGAUAAAUACCCAUGAGUGGAAUUGCUAGGUCAUAUGAUAGUUGUAUUUUUAAGUUUUUGAUAAACCUCUAAAGUUUUCCAUAGUCUCUAUAACAGUUUACAUUCCCACCAACAGUGUAUGAGGUUUCCCUUUUCUCCAUGUCUUCAUCAUUUGUUGUUUUAACUUCAGAGUACCUUCUGUGCACACACAAAAUUUUCCAAUACCAGAAUUGGAUUGUUUCUAGCCUUGGAUAUGUCAUGUCCUAAAUGUUUUUUCCCUUUUACUUUUUAAAGAAAGCAUCACUUUUUGGAGCUUAAACUUAGAGACAGAGCUAUAGACUAAACAGGAGGCUCAUCAAACUUGCCAUGGCCCACUGGACUGUUUCUCUGAAAUAUCAGCCUCCAGCAACACAAAGGCUACCAAUGAGUGUGCUCUUUCUGGUUCCCCAGCCCUCUAUUCUAUAGACAGUCACCAAGUAUGGAUUUCUAAAAUAAGUGGUGGCUUCUCCCAAGUUAUGAGUUUGGGCUUGUGGCGGCAGGAGGGGGGUGCUUUUCACUGUUAAUAUUCCAGACUUGGUGUAUUCUCUGUAGUCCCUGUCUGACCAGAUGCCAAACCCUCUCCCCUGUGAGUCAUCAGUUGGGAGAUCUGGUUCUGCUUGAAAUGCAUAUUCCUUGGGCUAAUAAUCAUGUACUGCAGCUUCUAGAUUCAGUAAGAAUAGCAAUUGCUUCUCACCCUGCCAGAUGGAAGACAGAAGGAGUCAUUCUACAAGCAUUUAUUGAAGAGUGUGAAGAAGAGAGGAUGUGCUUUGGAAUCAUACUAACUCAGGAUCCACCACUUAUUAAUUAUGACUUUGGGCAAAACCUUCAACUUCUUUAAGCCAUGUUUUGUUUUCAUUUGCAAGAUAUGAAUAAUAAUAUUUUCCUUUUGGUAUCAUAUAAAGGUUAAGUUUAAUGCAUGUAAGAAUUCCUAGCAGAGAGGCUGGCACAUGGAUAAGAACUGAUAAAUGGCAGCUGCUAUUUUUUAUGCAAAGAAAUAAACAAAUGAUCACCAGGAAUGUUAAGAAUCACAUUGUCUAAUCUUCACACUUUAUUUUUUUUUCUCACACAAGGACACUGAAUCCAAUGAUCUCUAUACAUUCUAAUUCUAUACAUUAUUCAUUAAUUCCUUUGCUUCAUCAUGUGAUGACUAUCAGGUGACAGGCCCUGUGUUCAGGCUGGGGCCCCACCUUGAGCUCUUCAGAUGUGCUUGAUGCCAGGUGGGCUCACAGUCCAGAGAAAAAAACAGGUGUGUACUCAGGUACCACCAUCCUCUGAAGUAGCCCAUGAACACUUCCUCAGAAUUAGAGCAAGAUGUCCCUUGCCACUUGUUUUUAUGCUGUAUGAGUUCUUUACAUAGUUUGAAUAUUAACCCCUUAUCAGAUAUAUGAUUGGAAAUAUUUUCUUUUAUUCUUAGUUGUAUUAUUUUUUGAUCCUUUCCUUUGUUGUACAGAAGCUUUUUAUUUUUAUUAUUUACUUAUUUUUCCUUUUUGGCAGCCCCAUGGGCAUAUGGAGUUCCUAGGGCCAGGGAUUGAACCUGCAUCCUAACACUCCAGAGAAACUGCCAAUCCCAUUGCACUACAGCAGGAACUCUUUGCAGAAGAUUUUCAGUUUGAUGUAGUCUCAUUUGUUUAUUUUUUCAUUUUGUUGCUUGUGUUCUAGGUGUCAUAUCUAAGAAAUUAUUGCCAAGACCCAUGUUAAGGAAUUUUUCUCUAUAUAUAUAUUUUUAGGAGUUUUAUGGGUUCAGGUCUUACAUUUAAGUCUUUAAUCUAUUUUGAGUUAAUUUUUAUGAAAUGCUAUUUUUCAAAUGGCCAACAGGUACAUGAAAAGAUGCUCAACAUUACUAAUCAUCAGGGGAAAAAAACCCUAAACCACAGUAAGACAUAGAGAUGGCCCAUAGGCACAUGAAAAGAUGCUCGACAUAGCUAAUUAUCAGAGAAAUGCAAAUCAAAACUACAAUGAGGUAUCACCUCACACCAAUCAUAAUGGCUAUCAUUAAAAAGUCUACAAUUAAUGCUAGAGAGGGUAUGCAGAAAAGGGAACCUUCCCACACUAUUGGUGGGAAUGUAAAUUGGUGCAGUCACUAUGGAAAAUAGUAAGGUUUCUUAAAAAACUAAAAAUAGAGUUACUAUAUGAUCCAGCAAUCCCACUCUAGGAAAAGAUCUGGAGAAAAAUCUAAUUUGGAAAAGUACAUGCAUCCCGAUGUUCAUAGCAACACUAUUUAAAAUAACCAUGCUAUGGAAGCAACCUAAAUCACCAUCGACAGAUAAAUGUGAAUGAACACAGAAGGGAGUUCCUGUCAUGGUACGGCGGAAACAAAUCCGACUAGGAACCAUGAGGUUGCGGGUUCAAUCCCUGGCCUCGCUCAGUGGGUUAAGGACCCUGCAUUGCUGUGGCUGUGGCAUAGGCAAGCAGCUGUAGCUCCAAUUAGACCCCUCGCCUGAGAACCUCCAUGUGCUGUGG